rnacentral:rRNA from 1 species
UACGUAGGGGGCAAGCGUUAUCCGGAUUUACUGGGUGUAAAGGGAGCGUAGACGGCAGAGCAAGUCUGAAGUGAAAGCCCGCGGCCCAACUGCGGGACUGCUUUGGAAACUGCCCGGCUAGAGUGCUAGAGAGGUAAGCGGAAUUCCUAGUGUAGCGGUGAAAUGCGUAGAUAUUAGGAGGAACACCAGUGGCGAAGGCGGCUUACUGGACAGUAACUGACGUUGAGGCUCGAAAGCGUGGGGAGCAAACAGG